CAGUCGCCACGGUAAUACGAAGGGGGCUAGCGUUGUUCGGAUUUACUGGGCGUAAAGGGUGCGUAGGCGGACUGAUAAGUCAGGGGUGAAAUCCCAAGGCUCAACCUUGGAACUGCCUUUGAUACUGUUAGUCUUGAGUUCGAGAGAGGUGAGUGGAACUGCGAGUGUAGAGGUGAAAUUCGUAGAUAUUCGCAAGAACACCAGUGGCGAAGGCGGCUCACUGGCUCGAAACUGACGCUGAGGCACGAAAGCGUGGGGAGCAAACAGGAUUAGAUACCCCCGUAGUCCCUGUCUCUUAUAC
rnacentral:rRNA from 1 species